rnacentral:rRNA from 1 species
AGAGUUUGAUCCUGGCUCAGGACGAACGCUGGCGGCGUGCCUAAUACAUGCAAGUCGAACGCACUCUCGUUUAGAUUGAAGGAGCUUGCUCCUGAUUGAUAAACAUUUGAGUGAGAGGCGGACGGGUGAGUAACACGUGGGUAACCUGCCCUAAAGUGGGGGAUAACAUUUGGAAACAGAUGCUAAUACCGCAUAAAACCUAACACCGCAUGGUGUAGGGUUGAAAGAUGGUUUCGGCUAUCACUUUAGGAUGGACCCGCGGUGCAUUAGUUAGUUGGUGAGGUAAAGGCUCACCAAGACCGUGAUGCAUAGCCGACCUGAGAGGGUAAUCGGCCACACUGGGACUGAGACACGGCCCAGACUCCUACGGGAGGCAGCAGUAGGGAAUCUUCCACGAUGGACGAAAGUCUGAUGGAGCAACGCCGCGUGAGUGAAGAAGGUUUUCGGAUCGUAAAACUCUGUUGUUGGAGAAGAAUGUAUCUGAUAGUAACUGAUCAGGUAGUGACGGUAUCCAACCAGAAAGCCACGGCUAACUACGUGCCAGCAGCCGCGGUAAUACGUAGGUGGCAAGCGUUGUCCGGAUUUAUUGGGCGUAAAGCGAGCGCAGGCGGUUUCUUAAGUCUGAUGUGAAAGCCUUCGGCUCAACCGAAGAAGUGCAUCGGAAACUGGGAAACUUGAGUGCAGAAGAGGACAGUGGAACUCCAUGUGUAGCGGUGAAAUGCGUAGAUAUAUGGAAGAACACCAGUGGCGAAGGCGGCUGUCUGGUCUGUAACUGACGCUGAGGCUCGAAAGCAUGGGUAGCAAACAGGAUUAGAUACCCUGGUAGUCCAUGCCGUAAACGAUGAG